UGGAUUAGUGGCGAACGGGUGAGUAACACGUGAGUAACCUGCCCUUGACUCUGGGAUAAGCGUUGGAAACGACGUCUAAUACCGGAUACGAGCUGAGACCGCAUGGUCAUUAGCUGGAAAGAACUUCGGUCAAGGAUGGACUCGCGGCCUAUCAGCUAGUUGGUGAGGUAACGGCUCACCAAGGCGACGACGGGUAGCCGGCCUGAGAGGGUGACCGGCCACACUGGGACUGAGACACGGCCCAGACUCCUACGGGAGGCAGCAGUGGGGAAUAUUGCACAAUGGGCGAAAGCCUGAUGCAGCAACGCCGCGUGAGGGACGACGGCCUUCGGGUUGUAAACCUCUUUUAGCAGGGAAGAAGCGAAAGUGACGGUACCUGCAGAAAAAGCACCGGCUAACUACGUGCCAGCAGCCGCGGUAAUACGUAGGGUGCAAGCGUUGUCCGGAAUUAUUGGGCGUAAAGAGCUCGUAGGCGGUUUGUCGCGUCUGCUGUGAAAACGCGAGGCUCAACCUCGCGCCUGCAGUGGGUACGGGCAAACUAGAGUGCGGUAGGGGAGAUUGGAAUUCCUGGUGUAGCGGUGGAAUGCGCAGAUAUCAGGAGGAACACCGAUGGCGAAGGCAGAUCUCUGGGCCGUAACUGACGCUGAGGAGCGAAAGCAUGGGGAGCGAACAGGAUUAGAUACCCUGGUAGUCCAUGCCGUAAACGUUGGGAACUAGAUGUAGGGA
rnacentral:rRNA from 1 species